rnacentral:other from 1 species
AUUGCCCUGCUGUGCACGUGUCGCUGCUUAUCGGUUUUGAGCCAACACUCUUAAGUAGGGUCCCUAUCUUCACAGUGUGACGCGAUAGGCUUGAGCCAAGGCGGAUCUCUGGAGGCGGAACCCAACCUGCGAAGGCAGGUUCAAAACUUCUCAGCACACGGCAUGGUGGGGUUUUU